UGGGGAAUAUUGCGCAAUGGGGGAAACCCUGACGCAGCAACGCCGCGUGAGUGAAGAAGGUUUUCGGAUCGUAAAGCUCUGUCUUUGGGGACGAACGAAAUGACGGUACCCAAGGAGGAAGCCCCGGCUAACUACGUGCCAGCAGCCGCGGUAAUACGUAGGGGGCAAGCGUUGUCCGGAAUUACUGGGCGUAAAGGGCACGCAGGCGGUAUAUUAAGUUAGAUGUGAAAGUUUGCAGCUUAACUGUAAAAGUGCAUUUAAAACUGGUAUACUUGAGUCUCGGAGAGGUAAGCGGAAUUCCUAGUGUAGCGGUGAAAUGCGUAGAGAUUAGGAAGAACACCGGUGGCGAAGGCGGCUUACUGGACGAGUACUGACGCUCAGGUGCGAAAGCGUGGGGAGCGAACAGG
rnacentral:rRNA from 2 species